rnacentral:rRNA from 1 species
AAGUCCUAAAAUGGCAAGUCGAACGAGAGACCUUCGGGUCUCUAGUGGCGAACGGGUGAGUAACACGUAGGGAACCUGCCCGCGCACCGGGAAUACGCUCUGGAAACGGAGAACAAAUCCCGAUGUACAGGAAGGAGGCAUCUUCUUUCUGUGAAACAUCCUUUCGGGGAUGGGGCGCGGAUGGACCUGCGGUGCAUUAGUUGGUUGGCGGGGUAAAGGCCCACCAAGACGAUGAUGCAUAGCCGGCCUGAGAGGGCGGACGGCCACAUUGGGACUGAGACACGGCCCAGACUCCUGCGGGAGGCAGCAGUAGGGAAUUUUCGUCAAUGGGCGCAAGCCUGAACGAGCGAUGCCGCGUGAGUGAAGAAGGCCUUCGGGUCGUAAAGCUCUGUUGCGGGGGAAAAAAGGCAGCAUCAGGAAAUGGGUGCUGACUGAUGGUGCCCCGCCAGAAAGUCACGGCUAACUACGUGCCAGCAGCCGCGGUAAUACGUAGGUGGCGAGCGUUAUCCGGAAUGAUUGGGCGUAAAGGGUGCGCAGGCGGUCCUGCAAGUCUGGAGUGAAACGCAUGAGCUCAACUCAUGCAUGGCUUUGGAAACUGGAGGACUGGAGAGCAGGGGAGGGCGGUGGAACUCCAUGUGUAGCGGUAAAAUGCGUAAAUAUAUGGAAGAACACCAGUGGCGAAGGCGGCCGCCUGGCCUGUUGCUGACGCUGAGGCACGAAAGCGUGGGGAGCAAAUAGGAUUAGAUACCC